UUAAGCGACUAAGCGUACACGGUGGAUGCCCUGGCAGUCAGAGGCGAUGAAGGACGUGCUAAUCUGCGAAAAGCGUCGGUAAGGUGAUAUGAACCGUUAUAGCCGGCGAUGUCCGAAUGGGGAAACCCAGUGCAAUUCGUUGCACUAUCGUUAACUGAAUACAUAGGUUAACGAGGCGAACCGGGGGAACUGAAACAUCUAAGUACCCCGAGGAAAAGAAAUCAACCGAGAUUCCCCCAGUAGCGGCGAGCGAACGGGGAGCAGCCCGGAGUCUGAAUCAGCUUGUGUGUUAGUGGAAGCGUCUGGAAAGUCGCAGGGUACAGGGUGAUACUCCCGUACACUAAAACACACAGGUUGUGAACUCGAAGAGUAGGGCGGGACACGUGGUAUCCUGUCUGAAUAUGGGGGGACCAUCCUCCAAGGCUAAAUACUCCUGACUGACCGAUAGUGAACCAGUACCGUGAGGGAAAGGCGAAAAGAACCCCGGCGAGGGGAGUGAAAAAGAACCUGAAACCGUGUACGUACAAGCAGUAGGAGCCCACUAGUUGGGUGACUGCGUACCUUUUGUAUAAUGGGUCAGCGACUUAUAUUCUGUAGCAAGGUUAACCGUAUAGGGGAGCCGCAGGGAAACCGAGUCUUAACUGGGCGUUAAGUUGCAGGGUAUAGACCCGAAACCCGGUGAUCUAGCCAUGGGCAGGUUGAAGGUUGGGUAACACUAACUGGAGGACCGAACCGACUAAUGUUGAAAAAUUAGCGGAUGACUUGUGGCUGGGGGUGAAAGGCCAAUCAAACCGGGAGAUAGCUGGUUCUCCCCGAAAGCUAUUUAGGUAGCGCCUCGUGAACUCAUCUUCGGGGGUAGAGCACUGUUUCGGCUAGGGGGUCAUCCCGACUUACCAACCCGAUGCAAACUACGAAUACCGAAGAAUGUUAUCACGGGAGACACACGGCGGGUGCUAACGUCCGUCGUGAAGAGGGAAACAACCCAGACCGCCAGCUAAGGUCCCAAAGUCAUGGUUAAGUGGGAAACGAUGUGGGAAGGCCCAGACAGCCAGGAUGUUGGCUUAGAAGCAGCCAUCAUUUAAAGAAAGCGUAAUAGCUCACUGGUCGAGUCGGCCUGCGCGGAAGAUGUAACGGGGCUAAACCAUGCACCGAAGCUGCGGCAGCGACACUAUGUGUUGUUGGGUAGGGGAGCGUUCUGUAAGCCGUUGAAGGUGGCCUGUGAGGGUUGCUGGAGGUAUCAGAAGUGCGAAUGCUGACAUAAGUAACGAUAAUGCGGGUGAAAAACCCGCACGCCGGAAGACCAAGGGUUCCUGUCCAACGUUAAUCGGGGCAGGGUGAGUCGACCCCUAAGGCGAGGCCGAAAGGCGUAGUCGAUGGGAAACAGGUUAAUAUUCCUGUACUCGGUGUUACUGCGAAGGGGGGACGGAGAAGGCUAUGUUGGCCGGGCGACGGUUGUCCCGGUUUAAGCAUGUAGGCGGAUGUUCCAGGUAAAUCCGGAACGUCACUAACGCUGAGGUGUGAUGACGAGGCACUACGGUGCUGAAGUGACAAAUGCCCUGCUUCCAGGAAAAGCCUCUAAGCAUCAGGUAACAUCAAAUCGUACCCCAAACCGACACAGGUGGUCAGGUAGAGAAUACCAAGGCGCUUGAGAGAACUCGGGUGAAGGAACUAGGCAAAAUGGUGCCGUAACUUCGGGAGAAGGCACGCUGAUGGUAGGUGAAGCGACUUGCUCGUGGAGCUGAAAUCAGUCGAAGAUACCAGCUGGCUGCAACUGUUUAUUAAAAACACAGCACUGUGCAAACACGAAAGUGGACGUAUACGGUGUGACGCCUGCCCGGUGCCGGAAGGUUAAUUGAUGGGGUUAUCCGUAAGGAGAAGCUCUUGAUCGAAGCCCCGGUAAACGGCGGCCGUAACUAUAACGGUCCUAAGGUAGCGAAAUUCCUUGUCGGGUAAGUUCCGACCUGCACGAAUGGCGUAAUGAUGGCCAGGCUGUCUCCACCCGAGACUCAGUGAAAUUGAACUCGCUGUGAAGAUGCAGUGUACCCGCGGCAAGACGGAAAGACCCCGUGAACCUUUACUAUAGCUUGACACUGAACACUGGUCCUUGAUGUGUAGGAUAGGUGGGAGGCUUUGAAGUGUGGACGCCAGUCUGCAUGGAGCCAUCCUUGAAAUACCACCCUUUAAUGGCUGGUGUUCUAACGUGGGCCCCUGAUCGGGGUUGCGGACAGUGUCUGGUGGGUAGUUUGACUGGGGCGGUCUCCUCCUAAAGAGUAACGGAGGAGCACGAAGGUCAGCUAAUCCUGGUCGGACAUCAGGAGGUUAGUGCAAUGGCAUAAGCUGGCUUGACUGCGAGCGUGACGGCGCGAGCAGGUGCGAAAGCAGGUCAUAGUGAUCCGGUGGUUCUGAAUGGAAGGGCCAUCGCUCAACGGAUAAAAGGUACUCCGGGGAUAACAGGCUGAUACCGCCCAAGAGUUCAUAUCGACGGCGGUGUUUGGCACCUCGAUGUCGGCUCAUCACAUCCUGGGGCUGAAGUAGGUCCCAAGGGUAUGGCUGUUCGCCAUUUAAAGUGGUACGCGAGCUGGGUUUAGAACGUCGUGAGACAGUUCGGUCCCUAUCUGCCGUGGGCGCUGGAGAAUUGAGGGGGGCUGCUCCUAGUACGAGAGGACCGGAGUGGACGCAUCACUGGUGUUCGGGUUGUCAUGCCAAUGGCAUUGCCCGGUAGCUAAAUGCGGAAGAGAUAAGUGCUGAAAGCAUCUAAGCACGAAACUUGCCCCGAGAUGAGUUCUCCCUGACCCUUUAAGGGUCCUGAAGGAACGUUGAAGACGACGACGUUGAUAGGCCGGGUGUGUAAGCGCAGCGAUGCGUUGAGCUAACCGGUACUAAUGAACCGUGAGGCUUAACCU
rnacentral:rRNA from 1 species